rnacentral:lncRNA from 1 species
CAGUUUAUAAAUCCUUCUCGACUACCUUGGAGCUUGUGGUAUAGGAACUAGGUUGUUAUAUUUGUUGAUCUCUUUCUUGUCUCUUAAGGAACCAUUCUUUGAGUUCUAUCCCUCGUUCAUUUGCUCUUAGGCAAAUCACAUUGUAGGAUUACAAUGAACUACCCAACAAAACAACAUUUGUUAGUUGGUUUAUAGAAGCGAUAUCCAAAAGUUAAUUUAAGGAUAUCCCACGAGAUUGUUAUCAAACAAAUAUUGCUUAUUAGCACACAACCCCAAAUCUUAACAUGCUUAAGAUUUGUCUUUCUUUCCAACUACAUCUUAUGGAGUCAUGAAAAAUUUGGAAGAUCUUCUAAUUGACAAUCAUAUUGUUUUAAAAGUAUAUAUCCUAUAUAUGGGUAAUAGAUAACAUCUAACGAACUAAAUCUUAUUUGAGUUCGUUCUUCUCCUUAAUGGAGAAAUUUAUUAUCUUAUGAUGCUUCUUUCCUUGAUAUCUUUCAAGAAAACUAUUCUAAAGUGUUACCAUUCCUUGGAUCAAAUCUAAGGAUGUAAAUACUUUAGACGUCUUACUCAUCAACUUACAUUUCUUGAAUUCUUUGAAACCUUUUGCAAAGUAUUCGGACUUGUGUUUAUUCAAAAUAAACUAUACUCCAACCGAGAGUGAUCUUCGGUGAAUGUCAUAUAACAUGAGUAGUAUUAUGUUGUGGACAAGUGCCACUAACAUCUAAGUGAAUUAACCUCAACAACUUUGUGAUUCUUUCUUCUUUCCAAAAGAAUAAAGAUUCAAACAUUUCACCUCUAUUCAAUUUUAACAAGAAGGUAUUGGAUCCGGAUCUAACGAUCCAAAGCAUCCAUCUAUGACCAACUCGUAAUUUAUGAUUUAGAGGUAUCACAAUUUAGUUGAGAUUAGUCACUACCUUACAACCUUUUGGGUUUUAAGCAUCAUUAUAUUCUAAACAGUUAACACUACCAUAUCAUCUCUACUAUAGAGACAAUCAAUUAGAUUACUAUAAUCCAAUCAUUGAUUAAUAAAGAACAAUGUUUUGUGAAACAAAACAUUCAUCCACCUCUACUAUAGUGACGGAAUUAAGUUCCUUAAAAUUGGAAUGUAAAGACAAUCUUUGGUUUUCCAAUUUCUUUGGUAGUUCAUAUGAGGAAGUAAGUACUAUCUACUUUCGCAGAGAUCUAUAUUUUAUUCACGUUCCGAAUGUGAAGCACCUUUUCUUCUCUCAUAUAUCUUCUACUUCUUAUUAGUCACACUUUUACAACGAUUGUAAAACAUAGUUACUAAUACGGAAUCAAGCAUUCAAGUAGAAGAACCAACUGUUUUGAACUAUUCAAGAACAAUUUACAACACCUUCGAAAGGUGUGUUCUUGACACUUGCAAGACAUUUCUUGCAUAUACCCCUUCCAAUGUCCAUCCUUUCAUAAAGAAAGUUUGUUCCCUUGGAGUUAAUUUUAUCUUCUUUAUUUGACUUCUCCUUUGACUACAAUAGUCAUGGUCCCUAAACUCCCACUAUCUCUCUUGAAACUUAUUUCAAUUGUGUUAUACACAUCAAACGAUUUUGGAGAGUAUGUGUUUAUUGUUCACUACAUAGUUUACAAUAAACUUAGUGAACCAUUAGGAUAGGGACAUAAAGGUGAAGUCC